CGGGUGAGUAACACGUGGGUAACCUGCCCAUAAGACUGGGAUAACUCCGGGAAACCGGGGCUAAUACCGGAUAACAUUUUGAACCGCAUGGUUCGAAAUUGAAAGGCGGCUUCGGCUGUCACUUAUGGAUGGACCCGCGUCGCAUUAGCUAGUUGGUGAGGUAACGGCUCACCAAGGCAACGAUGCGUAGCCGACCUGAGAGGGUGAUCGGCCACACUGGGACUGAGACACGGCCCAGACUCAUACGGGAGGCAGCAGUAGGGAAUCUUCCGCAAUGGACGAAAGUCUGACGGAGCAACGCCGCGUGAGUGAUGAAGGCUUUCGGGUCGUAAAACUCUGUUGUUAGGGAAGAACAAGUGCUAGUUGAAUAAGCUGGCACCUUGACGGUACCUAACCAGAAAGCCACGGCUAACUACGUGCCAGCAGCCGCGGUAAUACGUAGGUGGCAAGCGUUAUCCGGAAUUAUUGGGCGUAAAGCGCGCGCAGGUGGUUUCUUAAGUCUGAUGUGAAAGCCCACGGCUCAACCGU
rnacentral:rRNA from 2 species